UACGAAGGGUGCAAGCGUUACUCGGAAUUACUGGGCGUAAAGCGUGCGCAGGCGGUUUUGUAAGUCUGUCGUGAAAGCCCCGGGCUUAACCUGGGAAUUGCGAUGGAGACUGCAAGGCUUGAAUCUGGCAGAGGGGGGUAGAAUUCCGACGUGUAGCAGUGAAAUGCGUAGAGAUGUGGAGGACACCGAUGGCGAAGGCAGCCCCCUGGGUCAAGAUUGACGCUCGAUGCACGAAAGCGUGGGGAGCAAACAGG
rnacentral:rRNA from 1 species